AUUGAACGCUGGCGGCAGGCUUAACACAUGCAAGUCGAACGGUAACAUAAAGAAGCUUGCUUCUUUGAUGACGAGUGGCGGACGGGUGAGUAAUGCUUGGGAAUCUAGCUUAUGGAGGGGGAUAACUACGGGAAACUGUAGCUAAUACCGCGUAAUAUCGAGAGAUUAAAGUGUGGGACCUUCGGGCCACAUGCCAUAGGAUGAGCCCAAGUGGGAUUAGGUAGUUGGUGAGGUAAAGGCUCACCAAGCCGACGAUCUCUAGCUGGUCUGAGAGGAUGACCAGCCACACUGGGACUGAGACACGGCCCAGACUCCUACGGGAGGCAGCAGUGGGGAAUAUUGCGCAAUGGGGGCAACCCUGACGCAGCCAUGCCGCGUGAAUGAAGAAGGCCUUCGGGUUGUAAAGUUCUUUCGGUAGCGAGGAAGGCAUUUAGUUUAAUAGACUAGGUGAUUGACGUUAACUACAGAAGAAGCACCGGCUAACUCCGUGCCAGCAGCCGCUGUAAUAC
rnacentral:rRNA from 1 species